GAUGAACGCUGGCGGCGUGCCUAAUACAUGCAAGUCGAGCGAACGGACGAGAAGCUUGCUUCUCUGAUGUUAGCGGCGGACGGGUGAGUAACACGUGGAUAACCUACCUAUAAGACUGGGAUAACUUCGGGAAACCGGAGCUAAUACCGGAUAAUAUUUUGAACCGCAUGGUUCAAAAGUGAAAGACGGUCUUGCUGUCACUUAUAGAUGGAUCCGCGCUGCAUUAGCUAGUUGGUAAGGUAACGGCUUACCAAGGCAACGAUGCAUAGCCGACCUGAGAGGGUGAUCGGCCACACUGGAACUGAGACACGGUCCAGACUCCUACGGGAGGCAGCAGUAGGGAAUCUUCCGCAAUGGGCGAAAGCCUGACGGAGCAACGCCGCGUGAGUGAUGAAGGUCUUCGGAUCGUAAAACUCUGUUAUUAGGGAAGAACAUAUGUGUAAGUAACUGUGCACAUCUUGACGGUACCUAAUCAGAAAGCCACGGCUAACUACGUGCCAGCAGCCGCGGUAAUACGUGGGUGGCAAGCGUUAUCCGGAAUUAUUGGGCGUAAAGCGCGCGUAGGCGGUUUUUUAAGUCUGAUGUGAAAGCCCACGGCUCAACCGUGGAGGGUCAUUGGAAACUGGAAAACUUGAGUGCAGAAGAGGAAAGUGGAAUUCCAUGUGUAGCGGUGAAAUGCGCAGAGAUAUGGAGGAACACCAGUGGCGAAGGCGACUUUCUGGUCUGUAACUGACGCUGAUGUGCGAAAGCGUGGGGAUCAAACAGGAUUAGAUACCCUGGUAGUCCACGCCGUAAACGAUGAGUGCUAAGUGUUAGGGGGUUUCCGCCCCUUAGUGCUGCAGCUAACGCAUUAAGCACUCCGCCUGGGGAGUACGACCGCAAGGUCGAAACUCAAAGGAAUUGACGGGGACCCGCACAAGCGGUGGAGCAUGUGGUUUAAUUCGAAGCAACGCGAAGAACCUUACCAAAUCUUGACAUCCUUUGACAACUCUAGAGAUAGAGCCUUCCCCUUCGGGGGACAAAGUGACAGGUGGUGCAUGGUUGUCGUCAGCUCGUGUCGUGAGAUGUUGGGUUAAGUCCCGCAACGAGCGCAACCCUUAAGCUUAAUUGCCAUCAUUAAGUUGGGCACUCUAAGUUGACUGCCGGUGACAAACCGGAGGAAGGUGGGGAUGACGUCAAAUCAUCAUGCCCCUUAUGAUUUGGGCUACACACGUGCUACAAUGGACAAUACAAAGGGCAGCGAAACCGCGAGGUCAAGCAAAUCCCAUAAAGUUGUUCUCAGUUCGGAUUGUAGUCUGCAACUCGACUACAUGAAGCUGGAAUCGCUAGUAAUCGUAGAUCAGCAUGCUACGGUGAAUACGUUCCCGGGUCU
rnacentral:rRNA from 1 species